rnacentral:rRNA from 1 species
CCCUUAGAGUUUGAUCCUGGCUCAGAUUGAACGCUGGCGGCAUGCCUUACACAUGCAAGUCGAACGGUAACAGGUCUUCGGAUGCUGACGAGUGGCGAACGGGUGAGUAAUACAUCGGAACGUGCCCGAUCGUGGGGGAUAACGCAGCGAAAGCUGUGCUAAUACCGCAUACGAUCUACGGAUGAAAGCGGGGGACUCGCAAGGGCCUCGCGCGGACGGAGCGGCCGAUGGCAGAUUAGGUAGUUGGUGGGAUAAAAGCUUACCAAGCCGACGAUCUGUAGCUGGUCUGAGAGGACGACCAGCCACACUGGGACUGAGACACGGCCCACACUCCUACGGGAGGCAGCAGUGGGGAAUUUUGGACAAUGGGCGCAAGCCUGAUCCAGCCAUGCCGCGUGCAGGAUGAAGGCCUUCGGGUUGUAAACUGCUUUUGUACGGAACAAAAACGCCUUCUCUAAUAGGGGGGGUGAAUGACGGUACCGUAAGAAUAAGCACCGGCUAACUACGUGCCAGCAGCCGCGGUAAUACGUAGGGGUGCAAGCGUUAAUCGGAAUUACUGGGCGUAAAGCGUGCGCAGGCGGUUUUGUAAGACAGAGGUGACAUCCCCCGGGCUCAACCUGAGAACUGCCUUUUGUGACUGCAUAGCUGGAGUGCGGCAGAAGGGGGGGAAAGGAAUCUCCGCCGUUGGUACCAGUUGAAAUGCCUAAAUUUUGGGCGGAAGGAACCCCGGUUGGGGCGAAGGCCAUCUCCCCUGGGGCCUGCAACUGACGCUCAUGCACGAAAGGCGGUGGGGGGAGCAAACAGGAUUAGAUCCCCCUGGUAGUCCCACGCCCUAAACGAUGUCCAACUGUGGUGGUUGUGUAGUCUCUUCCACUGGACCUCAAUAACGAAGCCUACGCGAUGUAAGUUGGACCGCCUUGAGGGAGUACCGCCGCAUGAUUAUAACUCGAAGGUAUUUGAACGCUCCGCACA